rnacentral:rRNA from 1 species
CCUACGGGAGGCUGCAGUGAGGAAUAUUGGUCAAUGGGCGGAAGCCUGAACCAGCCAAGUAGCGUGCAGGAUGACGGCCCUACGGGUUGUAAACUGCUUUUAUAAAGGAAUAACGCGCCUUACGUGUACGGCUUUGCAUGUACCUUAUGAAUAAGGACCGGCUAAUUCCGUGCCAGCAGCCGCGGUAAUACGGAAGGUCCGGGCGUUAUCCGGAUUUAUUGGGUUUAAAGGGAGCGUAGGCGGGAUGUCAAGCUUGCUGUGAAAUGUCCGGGCUCAACCCGGGCCUUGCAGCGCGAACUGGCGGGCUUGAGUCCGCGGAAAGCAGGCGGAAUUCGGCGUGUAGCGGUGAAAUGCUUAGAUAUGGCGAAGAACCCCGAUUGCGAAGGCAGCUUGCUGCAGCGGAACUGACGCUGAUGCGCGAAAGCGCGGGUAUCGAACAGGAUUAGAUACCCUUGUAGUC